rnacentral:rRNA from 1 species
UACGAAGGGGGCUAGCGUUGCUCGGAAUGACUGGGCGUAAAGGGCGCGUAGGCGGCAUACACAGUCAGAUGUGAAAUUCCUGGGCUCAACCUGGGGACUGCAUUUGAUACGUGUAAGCUAGAGUGGAGAAGAGGGUCGUGGAAUUUCCAGUGUAGAGGUGAAAUUCGUAGAUAUUGGAAAGAACACCGGUGGCGAAGGCGGCGACCUGGUCUUUAACUGACGCUGAGGCGCGAAAGCGUGGGGAGCAAACAGGGAUUAGAUACCCUGGUAGUCCACGCUGUAAACGAUGUGUGCUGGAUGUUGGGAAACUUAGUUUUCAGUGCCGUAGCUAACGCGAUAAGCACACCGCCUGGGGAGUACGGCCGCAAGGUUGAAACUCAA